UGCUCUACGAUGCGCAUGCCUGCAAAAGCACAUGGAGGAGAGGACGUGAUUUAGCUGCUAGGUAGCAAAUAAUUUUAAGCAACAUCCGAUGUUUAAUAUCUCUGGCGGAGAGAGAACAGUACAAAUAUGAUUGCAAGAGAUGACGCUAAUCGGAAAAUGGGGCAGAGGCUUACGGCAAUAGGUGAUGGCCCUUUGAUGGAUGCAAGUUGGUGCAACUGGCAGGGGGCUUUCAGGGAACAGAUGGGCUGUGUAGCAGGGAGGAGCUGCACAGAUCUGCUAUUGACACUCAACCCCUGACAAUGUGCUGCCGCAGCAGCCCACAGCAGAUGCCUUUGGAGGUGUGUCUUUGUGUGAGAGUCCACAUGGAAGACAUCCCUCUUGCUGAAGCAUGAGACAGCAGCCGCGCAGACCAGAAUGGAGGAUGAUGCCUGUGGACAUCCGCCUGUGUGAGGACCCUGAAACGAGAUGAUGAUGUAGGGGGUCAACCUUGCACCCCCAGGGUUCCCCUGACCUCUGCAUGGGGGGGGUUCCCCUGACCUCUGCCUC